GUUUUUAUUAUUAAAACAUGGUUUGUAGUUUUGUUGUCUGUUAUCAGCUACACCUGUCAUGAAAGAUUUGGUGAUUCUAAUGCCAAGUACAACUAUUUCUACACCUAUUUCUUUGGUGCACUCAAGCAUGUUAAGUUGAAGCAUGGCACAGACAAUAUUGAAGAUCUCUAAGAUCCAAAUUUGCUGAAAUAAUGGCGGUGUUGAAGUUAUUGCAGAAGCAGAUCGGUGGUUCUCAAGUGUCGAGAACCAGAGACCUGGUAGGAGAUUUGGUUGUGCAUUGCUAUUAUGAAUAGAAUAUCUAUCAAUAACCAAGGCAAAAGACCAUUGGAGUUAC